rnacentral:tRNA from 1 species
GGAGGCUUCCGUGACGGCGACUUGUCUUGAAAACAAGAGUGCAGUUAACUGUAGCGGUUCAAUUCCUCCAGCUUCCG